rnacentral:lncRNA from 1 species
UCCAUUUCCUUCAAUGAUUGCUGCAAAUAACUGUUUUUGUUUUUGUUUUGUGGCUCCUAGUGCAUGUAAACAACCCGUGGCAGGAUGCUGUGACUGUCUUUCUUCAGUCUUGUGGGGCGCUUCCUGUACCAGGCCUCUGCAUGAUCUCAGGGAGGAGUCCUGACCUUGCACUUAGACCAUUGACCCUCCUGGAGAGGGCCGCCUGGGAACAGCUGAGAAGGUCCUAGCCGGACAGGAAGUGGUCCCCGACUUACAAGAACCAGCCUAUCCUCAGAAUCAAGAGGCAGAUAUGCUGGAGAGAGAGCCAAGGCUGGGGCUGGGGCCCAAAGGUGGCUCUUAGGAUGUUCGGACCCGGAUGCAGGGGCGGGCAUUCAGACACAGGCAACCGGGAUUGAGCAGCACCUUGCAGGCUGCUCGAGAAGGUACUUACAUGACCCUGUGAGAUCCCAUCCUUGUGAUGCAGGCUGGCCGGGGCUGAGGACGGAGAGGGAGUCCUCGGAACCAGUCAAGAAGGUCUUUGGCUUCGUGCAGGAUAGAAAUCAAAGGUGAGGGGCGCCUGGGUGGCUCAGUUGUUAAGCGUCUGCCUUCGGCUCAGGUCAUGAUCCCAGGGUCCUGGGAUCGAGCCCCGCAUCGGGCUCCCUGCUCCGCGGGAAGCCUGCUUCUCCCUCUCCCACUCCUCCUGCUUGUGUUCCCUCUCUCACUGUGUCUCUCUCUGUCAAAUAAAUAAAAUCUUAAAAAAAAAAAAAUCAAACAUGAGCCAAGAGGAAGCAAGACAGUUUAUUUAUUUAUUUAUUUAUUUAUUUUUAUCCAUUUGAGAGAGAGAGAAUGAGAGAUAGAGAGCACGAGAGGGAAGAGGGUCAGAGGGAGAAGCAGACUCCCCGCUGAGCAGGGAGCCCGAUGCGGGACUCGAUCCCGGGACUCCAGGAUCAUGACCUGAGCCGAAGGCAGUCGCUUAACCAACUGAGCCACCCAGGCGCCCAGCAAGACAGUUUAUUAAAGAUAUAGAGAAAGCGUAGAUACAGACAGAGUGUCAGGGAGACCCUAGGAGGAAGGAGAGUGAGUCUUGUCUUUGCUUGGGGCCUGGGGUUUUUAUUAAGGAAUGUGGUCCAGCGCGGGUGUCUUCUCGGUAAUCCAGGAACAAAGAUGAGCCUUUAGGUGUCCUCCAGAAGUCACCUGUGCCCUGGAGCCAGGGGUCUUGAUGAGUCAGUGGUCUUGGAAAAUGGUCAUGACCUACGACCCUAUCAGGUCAUUCCUUAGAUGUUAUCCAUUGUGCUGGAAGCCUCCAAAGAAAUCACUAACUCCCUGGCAUGCAUUAUCUGUGCUAUAAGGCAUGCAUAAGGUGGGGGUGUAGGGCCUGGGAAGACUCAAAACAGGAAAAGGGAGUCAAAAAAGCAGUUUCUCUCGCAGUCCCUAUCGUUGCGCUGUCUCCUUUGUUUUCCUCUUUGUCUCAGCUCUCAGCACUCCUGCC